rnacentral:rRNA from 1 species
UAAUACCUACGGGGGGCAGCAGUCGGGAAUAUUGCGCAAUGGAGGAAACUCUGACGCAGUGACGCCGCGUAUAGGAAGAAGGUUUUCGGAUUGUAAACUAUUGUCAUUAGGGAAGAAAAAAGACAGUACCUAAAGAGGAAGCUCCGGCUAACUACGUGCCAGCAGCCGCGGUAAUACGUAGGGAGCGAGCGUUAUCCGGAUUUAUUGGGUGUAGAGGGUGCGUAGACGGGAAUACAAGUUGGUUGCGAAAGCCCUCGGCUUAACUGAGGAACUGCAACCAAAACUAUAUUUCUUGAGUAUCGGAG